GCUGGGCGCGGUGGUGCACGCCUGUAAUCCUAGCACUUUGGGAAGCCGAGGCGGGCGGAUUGCCUGAGCCCAGGAGUUUGAGACCAGCCUGGGCAAUAUGGUGAAACCCCGUCUCUA
rnacentral:SRP_RNA from 1 species